GACGAACGCUGGCGGCGUGCUUAACACAUGCAAGUCGAACGGAAAGGCCCUGCUUUUGUGGGGUGCUCGAGUGGCGAACGGGUGAGUAACACGUGAGUAACUUGCCCUUGACUUUGGGAUAACUUCAGGAAACUGGGGCUAAUACCGGAUAGGAGCUCCUGCUGCAUGGUGGGGGUUGGAAAGUUUCGGCGGUUGGGGAUGGACUGGCGGCUUAUCAGCUUGUUGGUGGGGUAGUGGCUUACCAAGGCUUUGACGGGUAGCCGGCCUGAGAGGGUGACCGGCCACAUUGGGCCUGAGGUACGGCCCAGACUCCUACGGGAGGCAGCGGUGGGGAAUAUUGCACAAUGGGCGGAAGCCUGAUGAAGCAACGCCGCGAGCGGGAAGACGGCCUUCGGGCUGUAAACCGCUUUCGCCUGUGACGAAGCGUGAGUGACGGUAAUGGGUAAAGAAGCACCGGCUAACUACGUG
rnacentral:rRNA from 1 species